CCUCCACAAUUUAAUUAAUUUUCGAGCUUCUUCAAUUUCAAACAAUUUGAAAUAAUUGUUUUCGAAAAUAAAAAAUACUUUUGAAAUCAUUUUCAAGGCCAUGUUGCCAUUUCCCUAUAAAAUACAUAUUCAUAUACUUGCUACUUUUAAUAAAGAUUAGGAAAAUUUGUUUUACCAAAAUUGUGUUUUAGUGUGUGUUUUAUUUCCAUAAACUAAUUUGUGAUUUGAUUGGUAUAGUUGAUCUUUUAUUUCAAAAUAAUUAUUUUUAUCUUGUUGAAGUUAAGAAGCUUAAAUAAUUAGUUAAAUUUAUGAUUUAUCUCCUUCCCGCUUUAUCAAAUUCGGUUUAAUAUUGAAUCUAAGUUUGAUUUGAUAAAAUAUAGAAACCAAACAACCUGCUCCUUUCUUUCUUCCUUUUAAGACCAUACAUUUGGCCCAUUAUGAAACACCCAGCCAAACUCCAAUUCAACCCAGACCCCUCACUCUUUCUUCUCGCUCACAACACGCGCCAACAACGCUCAACCAGACGAACCCAGCCCUAAAUCCUCAUUUCGCCACCUCAAUGUCCCCUUUUCUCCUUCAAUUCGUACACUCCGCGUGCUUAGCACGAGCUCGAGGAUGCCUAGAAGCUUCCAACCAAACGACUCCCAAAUGAUAUAGCUCUUGUUGGUUAAAGUUGGUGCAAGAAUGCUUUUAACUAUGCCUUCCACACUUAUUUGCUGAUUAAAAUUGCGAUUAUGUUGACUUCUAUUUUUGCAUAUGAGGCAAAUGUAUUAGGAUUGGAAGUUGUACUCCUUGUUUCCUUUUUUCCCUCUUUACGUUGGCAGACUUAAUUUGCAUUAUUAAAUGUUGUUUGAGUUUGUUUACAUGUUAAAUUCGUCUCAGCUCCCUUCUUGAUUAGUUACUAAUUCUUUUUCUUUGUUUUCUUUGCAUGCACUCUCCCAUUUGAGUCCAUUGGACUCCACCAUCUCUUGCAUAUUCCUCUCUUCGAGUCAACCACCACCAAGUCGCGAAAGGGAAGCAAAUAUUAUUGGGUUAAAACUCAAAAACCAGCAGCAGCUGAAACAGGUAGCGGCAGUCCCAAAGGGACUCAUUGUUUACUGUGAUUACUCAACUUUUUAUCUAACUUAGAUGAAUUCCCGGGAGAUUUUUAAUGACCUUUCUUUCACUAUUUUGUUACAAGUACUUCAAUUUUCAAAACCCAUUUUAGUUAAGGCAAACUUAAGCUUGUAGAAUAACUUCAUGUUCUUUCAUAGUUAUUAAAAAGUUUUAAUCCACGUUAAUGAAUUUGAACUAACCAUUUGAUUCAAUAUCUUUAACUCGGAUAUAUAGAUUAUUAAGUUUUAAAAAAAUUCAACUUCUAAAUUUAGUACAAAUUAAUAUCUAUUCAUUUUUAUAAAGAUUUUCAUAAGUAACCCAAUUUCUUUUAUAAAAAUAGCCAAAUGUUUUAUCCUCAACUGCAUGUUAGCGGAUCGUGUUGUUUUAAAUUAGUUUUCAAAAAUAGGUAACAUCUAUGUAAAGGAG
rnacentral:lncRNA from 1 species